rnacentral:rRNA from 1 species
CCUACGGGUGGCAGCAGUGAGGAAUAUUGGUCGAUGGACGAGAGUCUGAACCAGCCAAGUAGCGUGAAGGAUGACUGCCCUAUGGGUUGUAAACUUCUUUUAUAUGGGAAUAAAAUGCUCUACGUGUGGGAUUUUGUAUGUACCAUAUGAAUAAGGAUCGGCUAACUCCGUGCCAGCAGCCGCGGUAAUACGGAGGAUCCGAGCGUUAUCCGGAUUUAUUGGGUUUAAAGGGUGCGUAGGUGGAUUGUUAAGUCAGUUGUGAAAGUUUGCGGCUCAACCGUAGAAUUGCAGUUGAAACUGGCAGUCUUGAGUACAGUAGAGGUAGGCGGAAUUCGUGGUGUAGCGGUGAAAUGCUUAGAUAUCACGAAGAACUCCGAUUGCGAAGGCAGUUCACUGGACUGCAACUGACACUGAGGCUCGAAAGUGUGGGUAUCAAACAGGAUUAGAUACCCCAGUAGUC